GGGCACAUGGUGUAGUUGGUUAUCACGUUCGCUUCGCACGUGAUUGGAUCACGUGAUUGCGAAAGGUGUCCGGUUCAAUUCCGGAUGUGUCCA